GAGACUCUGUGCGCGUGCAUAUCAAUAAGCGGAGGAAAAGAAACUAACAAGGAUUCCCCUAGUAACGGCGAGUGAAGCGGGAAGAGCUCAAAUUUGAAAUCUUCAAGGGUUUCCCUUGACGAAUUGUAGUUUAAAGAAGUGUUUUCUGUUAGAGAGGUGGUAAAAGUUCUUUGGAAUAGGACAUCAUAGAGGGUGAGAAUCCCGUAUUUGACCAUUAUUUCCAACUUUGUGAUACACUUUCAAAGAGGCGGAUUGUUUGGGAAUGCAGUCCAAAAUGGGUGGUAAAUUUCAUCUAAAGCUAAAUACUGGCGAGAGACCGAUAGCGAACAAGUACCGUGAGGGAAAGAUGAAAAGAACUUUGAAAAGAGAGUUAAACAGUACGUGAAAUUGUCAAAAGGGAAGCGUUUGACACCAGUGUUGUUUUCUCGAAAAUCAAUUACGAAUGGGUUGAUUUUAGAGUUAUGACUUCAUCAGCUUUCUGCUUUCUUUACUGUACUUUCUUAAUGCACUUUUCGUUUAACAAGUCAACAUCAAUUUCUUUUGUUGUAAAAGAGUCAUUGGAAGGUGGCUUUCUUUUCGGAGAAAGUGUUUAUAGCCUUUGACUCCUGCAAUCGGAGAGACUGAGGUCUGCAGCGUAGAUCCUUUCGGGAUUAGAUUACAUUUGUGCUAAGUAUAGCUUUUCAUAGACAACUUGUUGACUAUGAUUUAGUCAUUGUAGCUUACUCGCUUAUGCUAUUUUACCUACGCUUAGGAUGUUGAACUCUAUCACACACAG
rnacentral:rRNA from 1 species